rnacentral:rRNA from 1 species
ACUAGGGGUGCAAGCGUUGUCCGGAAUCAUUGGGCGUAAAGGGUGCGUAGGCGUCCAGGAAAGUUAUUUGUUAAAGCCUCCGGCUUAACCGGAGAAAUGCAAGUAAAACUAUCUGGAUAGAGUUUAAGAGAGGAAAAUGGAAUUCCUGGUGUAGCGGUGACAUGCGUAGAUAUCAGGAGGAACAUCAAUGGCGAAGGCAGUUUUCUGGCUUAAAACUGACGCUGAGGCACGAAAGCGUGGGGAGCAAACAGG